ensembl:lncRNA
GGGUACUUCCUGUUGUAACCAAGCGCGAAUUAGCUUAUCGGCAAUAUAAAGACGGAGAAGGAUAAGGACGCGGAGAGAAAUCACCACAUAAAUAUGUAUUUUGCACCUAGCAGCCGCUUUGAAAGAGGCACAAGCUCUUACGGUGAAAUUUGAGGGUUUAAUGCCAAUAAACCUGAAAAAUCAUCGGUGUCAUCCUUCAAUCAAGGGGGUAUGCUACAUUGCUGAGGGCCAGUGGUGGUGGUGCUGGUGGUGGUAUAAACCUCUUUGCGUGUGCUGUGCUCCUCUGGGAAUUGGUUUACGUAACCAACAAUCAUGCACAGAUGACUGACCAACAAGUGUGUGUCACGUGAGUGAUUUUGCUUUACUUUGAGCCCUAUAGCAGUGUCAGUGAAGUGAAAUGUCUUUCAAGAUUAUUGUCAAGGUUGACCUUGUCUGGAGGUCUGUUUUGGGGGAAUCCUUUGAAAUCUGCCUUCUCCUGCUGUUUCAAUACUUCACACACACAUAUGAUCGGUGUCCCUGCUUCACUAAUCUCAGGGAGCCCAAGCUUUGAAAAUGUAAAGAAUCUUCUGAAUCCUAUGCUAUUGUCCUGUUUCACUGUUGUUGACUGGUGGAUCCACCAAUGGCUUGACGGUGCAUGACAAAAGGGCUGAACAAAGAAAUGCACUCUGAUAUAGAUACCUGAGAGUGGAGACAAGCCGGUAUACUGACUGGGAGCCACAUAAAAGGUUGCAGCAUUCACUCGCCCACAAACACCAUUGUCACAUGUUUAGUUAUUUUGAGUUGCAGUCACUUAAAUUAUAACACACUGUAACUCUUCUUACCUGAAACCUGGGGUAGGCAGAGAGGUCUAUGCUGCUGACCUUGGGUUUAAUAUCUAAGGUGUCUAUAUCAACCUAGACAACUUAAAUUGAACAAUUAAUACUUUUCUUGUUUUACCCUGUUGGCUUAGUGAUCAGUCUUUUAACACUUUGUUUCAGCUGUAAUCAGCACUUGGAAAUUGUCGUUUAGUCAGUUUUUUUUCCUUUUGGAGCCAACAAAAAUUUUAGUCUUAGAUCUCAGAAAAGUACAAAAAAAUAAAUCGUCUUUUUGAACUUGGUUCAAACAAUUAAGCACAGUGCAUAUUUGCUUUUUUGGUAAGUCACUUCUUUGUUGCUUGAAAACCAAAAACUGACUCUUUUGUUUACUCACUAAUUUUAGAAUGAAAAACUAAAUCUUGUGCUGAACACAAUGAGAAAAAUGAACUCAAAAAACUUUCCUUUUUUUACAUUGAUGAUAAUUUUUUUGCAAUGAAAAUGUUUAUUAAUGUUUACUGAUACAUAAAGACAGGAAUGGAUAUUGGUUGCUGAAAGGCAUGUGAGUACGUGGAAUAUAUCUGCCUCAGAUGGUUUUCAAUAGAAUUCUGAAGCUUUUCUUCUCCUGAGGCCCACUCUCCUGUUUUCUGACAUCACUUGUGUUCUUCUCACAGCCUUGAGUGACCUUGCUGGUCUUUUUGCGGAAAAAUCUGCUCACUUUUUUGACAAAGCUCACGUUUUUUUUAGAUUUCGCCAGCUUUGCUUUCAAUGUCCUGGCAGCAGCUUCUUCAAAGGCCACUGGGUUGGACGCCACAGCAGACAGCAGCUCCUCUGCAGAUCCA